rnacentral:rRNA from 1 species
CAGCAGCCGCGGUCUACAACGGUGCAAGCGUUACUCGGAAUUACUGGGCGUAAAGCGUGCGUAGGUGGUCGUUUAAGUCCGUUGUGAAAGCCCUGGGCUCAACCUGGGAACUGCAGUGGAUACUGGGCGACUAGAGUGUGGUAGAGGGUAGCGGAAUUCCUGGUGUAGCAGUGAAAUGCGUAGAGAUCAGGAGGAACAUCCAUGGCGAAGGCAGCUACCUGGACCAACACUGACACUGAGGCACGAAAGCGUGGGGAGCAAACAGGAUUAGAUACCCUGGUAGUCCACGCCCUAAACGAUGCGAACUGGAUGUUGGGUGCAAUUUGGCACGCAGUAUCGAAGCUAACGCGUUAAGUUCGCCGCCUGGGGAGUACGGUCGCAAGACUGAAACUCAAAGGAAUUGACGGGGGCCCGCACAAGCGGUGGAGUAUGUGGUUUAAUUCGAUGCAACGCGAAGAACCUUACCUGGCCUUGACAUGUCGAGAACUUUCCAGAGAUGGAUUGGUGCCUUCGGGAACUCGAACACAGGUGCUGCAUGGCUGUCGUCAGCUCGUGUCGUGAGGUGUUGGGUUAAGUCC